CCUCCACAAUCUUGCUUGCUGGUUAUCACUAAAUGAGAUAUAUACUUAAAAUGGAAACAUCUUGAUUGCUGUGAAUCCAUUCCAAAGACCUCCACAUUUGUAUAGCGUCCAUAUGAUGGAGCAGUAUAAAGGAGCUGCGUUUGGAGAGCUAAGCCCACAUCUGUUUGCCGGUUGCAGACACCAGUUAUAGGCGAUGAUAAAUGAGGCAAAGAGCAAGUCUAUUUUGGUUAGUGGAGAGAGUGGAGCUGGGAAGACGGAGACAACCAAAAAGCUCAUGAGAUAUCUUGCAUUCAUGGGAGGCAGAU